CCUCCUCCAGCGGCAGGAUGUGAGCCACCGGCAAGGAGGGACGCCAAUAAGGCGUCUGAUAAGUCUUAUAAAAUAUAUAGAUUUAUGAUAAUUAAGACUGAGCUAACAGAUGAGAAUCCUAGUCAUUGGCCAAGCAGCUUUGAACCUAAUACACAUUUCUGUGUAUUCAUUUGGACCUAACUGGGGCGGUGGCUGGCGUAAAGCUCACACGUGGCGGUGGGGCUAAGGCGGCAUUUGGCGGAAAGAUUUAUCGUAACAUAAGUGGGGUUGAAUUGCAUGAUGCAACAUUCCCAAAGAAUCAAUAAAAAUUAUGAUUAUAAAAAUAAUAAUAGGGCUGGAGAGAUGGCUCAGAGGUUAAGCGCACCGGCUGCUCUUCCAGAGGUCCUGAGUUCAAUUCCCAGCAACCACAUGGUGGCUCACAACCAUCUGUUAUGAGAUCUGGCGCCCUCUAAUGGUGUGCAGAUAUACAUGGAAGCAGAAUGUUGUAUACAUAAUAAAUAAAUAAAAUCUUUAAAAAAAUAAUAAUUUUAAAAAAAGAGUCCUUUAAAAACAAAUUUACUUCAAGCCAGGUGUGAUAGCACACACUUUUAACCCCAGUACUCCAGGGACAGUGGUAAGUGGAUCUCUGGGAGUUCAAAUCCACCCUUGUCUACAUAGUGAGUUCCAGGACAGCCAAGGCUAUUUAAAGAGACCCUUUCUCAAAAAAAAAAAAAGUUUACUUCUUAGAUUAUUGGUUUGUUGCUAACUAAAUAUGAUCCAGAGUCUUAUGAAUUCCUAAUGCUCAGACUAUCUAUCCACUUAUCUGUUCAUACCAACCAAGCAGUGCUAGUAAGAUGUCCAGUGUUUUCAGUUUACUGAAUUGUGAAAAUUCCACAAGCAUCAGAUGUAAAUGUCAUAGAAUUCCAAAGCCCAAACCAUAGUGAAUGUUAACUUUAACUGUCCUAGAGGAAAGAAAUGUGGGCAUUAAUAUUUACUGAACACUAUAAGCUAAACACACAUACUAUGAUUUUUAAUGUUUUUGAAACACUCAGCUGUGCAGUAACUUUGGCUGGUCAAAACCACUAUUUCUUAUUUAAAAAAUGAACGGAGUACACCUGGGAAAACAUAGUGUUUUCGUAUGUAGCCCAGGCUUCAACUGUGAAGUUUUCAGAACUAACUUCUCAUCGGUUAUCAUUUUCAUUAAUUAAAAUGAUUUGAGUAAGAAAAAAAUAAAAUAAAAUAAUGAAUGGAGAAAAGAUGAGAUGCAUGAGUAUAUCAAAUUCAGUCAUUGGAAAUGCUAGUUCAUAAAAUCUCUGUUCCAGUGACCCUCAGGUGUAUGGGUGGUUUUAUUGCCUAAUGUUAUUAAAUUGUCUUUCUCACUCCAGAUUUGCUGAGAAGCAUUUGAAGAACACAUCUCCAUAAACAGUUACUAUCAAAUCCAUUUAUAUAGGAAUGUGCUAAGGUCCAGAGAUCUUAAAUAGCAGGCCUAUGUUUACAUAGCCAGGAAUGGCAGGACCUAUUUUGGUGUCUCCUGGAGGAAACAAACCUUGGUAUGAAUAAAGAAAAGAUGUCUGCAGAGGAGAACCAGGAAGGAUAAUAAUUAGUGUUUGGAAAUAUUUUAUUUAGUGACAAUAUUGCAACUUCCUAGUUUUAUGGUUUAGACAGCACUUUCCAGGACUUUGAUAUAUGAACUGUCAUAACUCUAGCCCCAGUCUGAACCCCAGGCACACCACAGACUGCUUCCCUGGGUCCUCCCGGCUUCACAAGCCAUCCAGAUUCCCAGAGGCUAAGUGGGUGACCUGGGGCACACCUGGCUGUCUUGGCACAGCCACUAAGCGCACACAUUCCCUCAUAAGUGCCGCACCUGGACAAACAGGACUCAUACUUUUUGGCUCCAAGGACAAUAUUUCUUUGCUGGAUCAUUUUCCUGUCUGCAUCCCCGGCCAUCCCACAGAGAAAUGCCCUCCUCGUGUUGUCUGUAAAACCCCAGGAAUGCCUCUCCUGACACUUCAGCCUUUCGUAGUGGUUUGGGCAAUUUGGAAAUACAAUUAAAGCAAUAGUUUAGUGAUUUUUCUGUGCCUCCUCUGUUUUUGCAAGCCCCACGGAUUAUUAUUUUUACUGUGGCUGUGAAGAGCCCUGAUCUUGUCCACUAAAUCCUUCUAUCUAAUGAGCAAUGGCUUAACAAAAGUCCCAAAGCCAUAAACUUGGAGGUUAUCCUUUCCAGGCCACCAAUGAGGUGUCCACCGAUGAUGGAGUUUCUGUCCCACCAAGGCCCACAGUCAUUUGGUCCCAAAUAAACACACAGAGGCUCAUGACUAAGACGGAGAUUAACUCUCUCUUAAUUAUUAACCCAUUUCUGUUAAUCUAUGUAUCUCCAUUUGGUCCUGGCUUACCAGAAAAAAAUCUCAGCAUCCUACCUUCCUGGUGGCUACAUGGCCUCUCCGUCUGGAAACCACUUUUGUACCUUUCCUUUUCCAGAAUUCUCCUAGUCUGGUAGCCCGGCCUAUACUUCCUGCCUGGCUACUGGCCAAUCAGCAUUUGUUCAUUAACCAAUAAGAGAAACAUAUUCACAGAAGGACAUCCUCCAUCAAUCCAUCUUCGGAUAAAUGUUCUUUGUAUGGGUUUGGGAGUAUCUUUGAAUGAGUGAACGGUCAGGAGAGAGGAGCUAGUGAGCCUCUGCUUUGUCUGAAGAGGAGGAAGGGACUCCAGUCUCUACCAUUGGGUGGGAGCAAUGGCUGGGCAAGUCUUGCUCACUCUGGGAAAAUACUGACUUUGGUGGCUUGGUUAAGGGGGUAUGCCAGCUAUGUGAUUUAUGUGUCAAUGCAAAAACAGAC
rnacentral:lncRNA from 1 species